rnacentral:lncRNA from 1 species
AAGGGUUGGAUGUGCAAUCAUUUUUAGUUCAUUUAGUUAAGACAGUAAGAUCAAGAGAGUGAUGCUAGGAACAAGCAUAAAGAACUGAACAUGUUGAGUUAAUCAAGUUGGAUCAAGUGAAGUUACAACUCAAACAUAUUUAGUUCUUCAUUUAUGUGCAUACAAGAACCAGGGGAAAAGAUUUUAAAGUUAUGAUCAUUUAACCAGAGGUGUUACCUUCAAUGUUGGAGCUUGUUGAUCCGUAGCACCUUGUAGCAGCUUCCCUUGUUUGGU